AGAGUUUGAUCCUGGCUCAGGAUGAACGCUGGCGAUGUGGAUAAGGCAUGCAAGUCGAACGGCUGUAGCAAUACAGCAGUGGCGAAUGGGUUAGUAACACGUAGAUACAGACCCCUUACUCAGGCACAACCUGGAGAAAUCCAGGCUAAUUCCUGAUAGUCCCGCAAGGGUAAAGAUUUAUCGGUAAGGGAUUGGUCUGCGUCCUAUCAGCUAGUUGGUGAGGUAACGGCCCACCAAGGCUAUGACGGGUAGGCGGAGUGAGAGCUUGACCGCCAACAAUGGCACUGAGACACGGGCCAUACUCCUACGGGAGGCAGCAGUCGAGAAUAUUCGACAAUGGGGGAAACCCUGAUCGAGCGACAUCGCGUGUGGGCUUAAGAUCUUCGGAUUGUAAACCACUUUUAUGAGGGAAGAAUUUGACGGUACCUCAGG
rnacentral:rRNA from 1 species